rnacentral:rRNA from 1 species
CCCCUAGAUGUUCUGGGCCGCACGCGCGCUACACUGAACAGUUCAACAAGUCUUAACCUGGGCCGAUAGGUCUGGGUAAUCUUUGAACGCUGUUCGUGAUUGGGAUAGACCUUUGCAAUUAUGGGUCUUCAACGAGGAAUUCCUAGUAAACGCAAGUCAUCAGCUUGCAUUGAUUACGUCCCUGCCCUUUGUACACACCGCCCGUCGCACCUACCGAUUGAAUGGUCCGGUGAAAUCUCGGGACGGCGGCUCGGUCGCUUGCGUCCGACUGCUGAAACUUGAUUAAACCAUAUCAUUUAGAGGAAGGUGAAGUCGUAACA